CAAGUCUUGACAUCCCAUCGAAUAAAGGGUAAUGCCUUUAGUCCUUCGGGACGAUGGAGACAGGUGGUGCAUGGUUGUCGUCAGCUCGUGUCGUGAGAUGUUGGGUUAAGUCCCGCAACGAGCGCAACCCUUAUCUUUAGUAGCCAGCGAGUGAAGUCGGGCACUCUAGAGAGACUGCCGGGGAUAACCCGGAGGAAGGUGGGGAUGACGUCAAAUCAUCAUGCCCCUUAUGAUUUGGGCUACACACGUGCUACAAUGGCGUAAACAGAGGGAGGCGAGCCCGCGAGGGGGAGCAAAUCCCAAAAAUAACGUCCCAGUUCGGAUUGUAGUCUGCAACCCGACUACAUGAAGCUGGAAUCGCUAGUAAUCGCGGAUCAGAAUGCCGCGGUGAAUACGUUCCC
rnacentral:rRNA from 1 species